AUACGGAGGGUGCAAGCGUUGUUCGGAAUUACUGGGCGUAAAGCGCGCGUAGGCGGCUUUGUAAGUCGGAUGUGAAAGCCCCGGGCUUAACCUGGGAAUGGCAUUCGAUACUGCAGAGCUAGAGUAUGGUAGAGGGAAGUGGAAUUUCCGGUGUAGCGGUGAAAUGCGUAGAUAUCGGAAGGAACACCAGUGGCGAAGGCGACUUCCUGGGCCAAUACUGACGCUGAGGUGCGAAAGCGUGGGGAGCAAACAGGAUUAGAUACCCCGGUAGUCC
rnacentral:rRNA from 1 species